UCGGGUAUGGUGUAGUGGACAUCGCUGAUUCUCAAAUCUUUGAGAAACUCAGCAGCCCGGGGUUCGAUUCCCCGUUUUCGAG